rnacentral:rRNA from 1 species
GACGAACGCUGGCGGCGUGCUUAACACAUGCAAGUCGAACGGAAAGGCCCAGCUUGCUGGGUGCUCGAGUGGCGAACGGGAGAGUAACACGUGGGUGAUCUGCCCCUAACUUCGGGAUAAGCUUGGGAAACUGGGUCUAAUACCGGAUAGGACAAUCGUUUAGUGUCGGUUGUGGAAAGUUUUUUCGGUUAGGGAUGAGCCCGCGGCCUAUCAGCUUGUUGGUGGGGUAAUGGCCUACCAAGGCGUCGACGGGUAGCCGGCCUGAGAGGGUGGACGGCCACAUUGGGACUGAGAUACGGCCCAGACUCCUACGGGCGGCAGCAGUGCGGAAUAUUGCUCUAUGGGCGCAAGCCUGAUGCAGCGACGCCGCGUGGGGGAUGACGGCAUUCGGGUUGUAGCCCUCUUUCGACAGGGACGAAGCUUUGGUGACGGUACCUGUAUAAGAAGCACCGGCUAACUACGUG